AGUCAUACGCUCGUCUCAAAGAUUAAGCCAUGCAUGUGUAAGUGUAAAUAUAAAAGUUUGGAACUGCGAAUGGCUCAUUAUAUCAGUUAUAGUUUAUUUGGUGAAGUGUACUACUUGGAUAACCGUAGUAAUUCUAGGGCUAAUACAUGAGAAAGUCCUCUGGUGAGGUGUGUUUAUUAGAAUGAAAACCAUAUGCUUCGGCAUGAUAGUGAGUAAUAGUAACCUAUCGUAUCGCAUGCUUAAUGUAGCGAUGAGUCUUUCAAGUUUCUGCCCUAUCAGCU
rnacentral:rRNA from 1 species